AUUGAACGCUGGCGGCAGGCUUAACACAUGCAAGUCGAACGAGUGGCGGACGGGUGAGUAAUGCUUGGGAAUCUGCCUGAUGGAGGGGGAUAACUACGGGAAACGGUAGCUAAUACCGCAUACCAUCGGAUGUGCCCAAGUGGGAUUAGCUUGUUGGUGGGGUAAAGGCUCACCAAGGCGACGAUCUCUAGCUGGUCUGAGAGGAUGACCAGCCACACUGGAACUGAGACACGGCCCAGACUCCUACGGGAGGCAGCAGGGGGGAAUAUUGCGCAAUGGGGGCAAGCCUGAUGCAGCCAUGCCGCGUGAAUGAAGAAGGCCUUCGGGUUGUAAAGUUCUUUCGGCGGGGAGGCGUUACCUGCAGAAGAAGCACCGGCUAACUCCGUGCCAGCAGCCGCGGUAAUUC
rnacentral:rRNA from 1 species